ACGAAUGACGGUUGCGGCCAGCCGCUCCGCCAGGUUCAUACCCCGGAGACGCUGGUUCGAGUCCGGCCGAUUUGUG
rnacentral:tRNA from 1 species